CCUACGGGUGGCAGCAGUGAGGAAUAUUGGUCAAUGGGCGCGAGCCUGAACCAGCCAAGUCGCGUGAGGGAAGAAGGUCCUGUGUAUUGUAAACCUCUUUUGUCGGGGAACAAAAGCGGCGACGAGUGCCCUUCUGAGGGUACCUGAAGAAAAAGCAUCGGCUAACUCCGUGCCAGCAGCCGCGGUAAUACGGAGAAUGCGAGCGUUAUCCGGAUUUAUUGGGUUUAAAGGGUGCGUAGGCGGUUGGGUAAGUCAGAUGUGAAAGGCUGCGGCUCAACGGGAGAAGUGCAGUUGAAACUGCGUUGCUGGAGUGCAGAAGCGGUGGGAGGAAUGUGUGGUGUAGCGGUGAAAUGCAUAGAUAUCACGAAGAACACCGAUUGCGAAGGCAGCUCACGAGUCCGCGAUUGACGCUGAGGCUCGAAAGCGUGGGUAUCAAACAGGAUUAGAUACCCGGGUAGUC
rnacentral:rRNA from 1 species